CUGGGUCUGGAGUUUCCAACUAUGACACAAUGUAGGGAGGCCAUAAGAGAAUUGUCUAUCAAAUCUGGAAGGCCACUAAGUUUUGACAAAAAUGAUUCUGACAAGGUUAUAGUGAAAUGUAAAGGACAAUGUAAGGGAAGUUGUCCAUUCAAAAUAUAUGCAUCUAUGGUUGGGAAUGGUCCUACUGUGAGGGUCAAGACUUAUGAGCCAUUGCAUCACUGCGGGAGGUCAAAAAAAAUAAAGCAUGCUACUUCUACUUGGAUAGCAGACAGGUUUGAUGAGGUCUUCAGAUCCAAUCCCAAAAUAAAACCUAGAGACUUUAUUCGAAUGGUGGCUAAGCAGUACGGGAUUGAUGUUACACUUGAUCAGUUUUAUAAGGCCAAGGAAAAAGCUAAGAGGAGGAUACAAGGUGGCAUUCAGGAGCAAUAUGCGGUACUAAGAGAUUAUGGUGAAGAAUUAAAGAGACUUAACCCGGGCAGCACUGUUAAAAUUAAAACUGAAAUGACUGAAGAAGGGCCUGUAUUUAAGAGAAUAUAUAUUUGUUAUGCAGCUCUAAAGAAGGGUUUCAUUGAAGGUUGUAGAAAAGUAGUAGGAUGUGAUGGGUGUCACAUUAAGGGUCCAUACAAAGGGCAGCUUCUAAGUGCUGUAGGGGUCGAUGCAAAUAAUGGUAUGUACCCGAUAGCAUUUGCCAUCGUUGAAGUUGAAAAUAGAGAGACUUGGAUGUGGUUUCUGGAAUACUUUAUUAAUGAUGUGGAGAUUUUAAAUGCGGGAAAUGGUUGGGUCUUUAUUAGUGACAAGCAAAAAGGUCUACUUGAUGCUAUUGAAGAGUUGAUGCCUCAAGCGGAACAUAGGCAUUGUGUUAGACACCUCUACAAUAAUUUUAAAGGUGCUGGUCACACAGGACUUGCAUUGAAGCAAGGUAUGUGGGCAGCUUCGAAGUCCACUACUGUUCCUUGGUUUGAAGAAGAAAUGGACAAGGUAUUAAGGCUGUGUAAAGAUGCUCAUGACUGGUUGAGAAAAAGGGCUGCAAUUCAUUGGAGUAGGUCGCAUUUUAAAACUGAGGCCAAAUGUGAUAUACUCCUUAACAAUCUUUGUGAAGCAUUCAAUUCUGCCAUAUUGGAAGCAAGAGAUAAACCUAUCCUAACAAUGCUGGAGAGGUUGAGAAUGUACUUAAUGCUGAGGAUGGCAAAGCAAAGGGAGUUGAAUUGGACACAACCUGUUGGACCAAGAAUAUUUGGUAUUAUCGAGAAAAACAGAGAACUGAGUAAUAAUUGCUAUGCUGAAUCUUCCAUUGGAGGCCAUUUCGAGGUCACUCAUCUUCAUGGAAGAAAAUUUUAUGUUAAUAUGGAGGAUAGAACUUGUUCAUGUAGAAAGUGGGACCUUUGUGGUAUUCCAUGUUCUCAUGCAAUGACUUGUCUUGGUUGGAUGGAUGCAAGUCCAUAUGAUUUUGUACAUAACCAUUACAAGAGGGAGGCUUAUGACCGAGCCUAUGGUUACUUCUUUUGCCCAAUGUCCAGUCAAGACUUGUGGCCUAAAACUGGUGGCAUGCCGAUUCUUCCACCACUCUAUCACAAACAACCAGGAAGGCCCAAAAAGAGAAGAAUUUUAGAACCAAAUGAGAUUCCCAAAGGUGCAAAAAAGCUACAGAGAUAUCAUGCCCCAUCUAAGUGCACACUUUGUAAAAAUGAAGGUCAUAAUAAGAGGACAUGUCCUCAGGUAUGUAUUCUAACCUUUCAUUUGUAGUAUUGUACUAUAACUUCAAUAUUAAAUAAAAUUUUCAUGUAGCUUGUUCAACAUUAAAUUCCUUAUGUUCUCAGAGAGGACAAGCACUAGAACCUCCUCCUCAUGUUCCAGCGAGCGAAAAUAUGUACAAGGCAAGUGGAACAGCAAGAGGAAGGGCUAGAGGAACCGUAAGUUUAAAAGCCUCUUUGUUUAGUUUAAUGUAAGUAAUGGCUUUGGUGAAUGAUUUGAGAAAUUGUAGUAUCCUUACAGGGCACAAAUAGAGGAAGAGGUAUUGGAAAUUCAAUUAUGAUGGAAGAAGCACAAUUUGGACAAGGAACAAGAGGACAAGGAAGACAUGGUGUUCAAUAUGUUAGAGUUGGGGGGACUAGAGGAGGAAGAGGCCAAUUUGUUGCUCCAACAAGAGAAAGAGGACAGUUUGAAAGCUUUAUUGGAAGGUCACAAUCUACAAGUUUCGGUACUAGAGGAGGAGGACAAACAUUUGCAAGUGCCGGAAGAGGAAGAAGCCAAUUCAUUGCUCCAACAAGAGGAAAAGGGCAACCUACAAGCUUUGGUAAUGGUGGAGGACAAGCUCUCCCAGGUAUUGAAAGAAGAAGGGGACAAUAUGUAAGUUCAUUUAAUUAUUCAAAGAACUUUUAUUUUGCGUUGGAUUAUGAGUAUGACAAGUUUUGGGUUAACAUUGUAUGUCAAAAAUAAGCUAGUCUUUUUUUUUUUUUGGUUACAAAAUAAGCUAGUCUUUUGCAUUGCGGUAUAUGCUAUGAAUCAUCCUUAAAUUUAUGUGGAAACUCUUUUUAUUUAUUUAUUUAUUUUUCAUUUUUAAUACUGUCAAAUAACAAUAUACUGAAUUUUACUUUUAUUGUCAUACUUUGUUUUCUAGGUCAAUCGUGCCACUCGUAUAACUCAAGUGACAAUGCAUUCUACAAUCAGUACUGAAGCUACCGCAUCUCAACCAAUUUCUAAAGCUAGUGACAAUGCAUUCUAAUGCAUUCUACACUCGUAUUACUCCUGCCAACAACAACACACAUUGGAAGCUAUAGAAUAUAAAUUAGUGGUCUUUGUUAAAAUUUCAAGUACGUGGUGAAUCUAUUAGGAUAUAUAGUUUAACUGAUGAAAGAACAGAACAUUGUUUUAGUAUUUGUCUUACUAUUAGUUGAAGUGUUGAUUAUGCCUUCAUUAUGGAAAACCAAUGUGCUAUCAAAUUUAGCUCUUUAAUUUAAGUGAAGGGAUUAUGUAAAAAUUCUAGCAUUGUUUUGUGUGAAAGUUAAUCAUGACUUGAAUAUUUGGAUUUUAGACUUGAUUAUUUUGGCUGAGAUAGCUCUAAUUGUAAUGAACUAUUGAAUGACUUAUUAUUCAAUUGCGUUGAGGAACCAACAAUUAUGGUUUUGGUGAGAGGGAGUAUGAUUUACAGUUUUAGGGUUGAUAUCUUUUUUGUUGGUGUUAAGAGUUAAAAAAAAAAUAAAAAAAAUAAUAAAAAAACCCUCAUUUGUAUGUAUUGAUAUUCUUGAACAAUUGGUUUGUUUAGUGUUUUUUUUUUUUUGGAUGAUGAUUGGAAAGACGAAAACGCCCAGCAAGUUAACAGAAAAAUUGGAUGGAAAAUCUAAAAGUUAACGGUAGGGUGUGAAUCGGCAAGAGUUAGAAAAGUUAGGGUGUGAAAAAUCAAAAUUAAAAUGUCAGGGGGUAAAAUGACAGCUAUGAGAAAAGUUAGGGGGUAAUUUGACUAUUUUGCCAAAAAAAAAACUAAAUACGUUACUAGAAAAAGAUGAUUCUAUUUAGACCUCUAGACUCCACUAAUUUUUGUAACGAUUUAAUUCCUAAUUUAUAGAAAACUAAAUAACAAAAACAAAUAUAGAAAAUCCACAACCAAUUUUGUCUCCAUCUUCUUCUCCCUCACCCUUUCUCUCACCUGGGUUUCUUAUUAGCUAUCAAAUUAAUGGUAUGCCUAUUCUUAUAUAUAUUCAUAAUCAAGACCCAAUUGUUAGAAUUUAAUUAUUGAUUAGUAAUUUGAUAUAUAUGUGACUGAUAACUCU